rnacentral:rRNA from 1 species
UACGUAGGCAGCAAGCGUUGUUCGAAGUUACUGGGCGUAAAGGGUGUGUAGGCGGUUCUUUAAGUUUGCUGUGAAAUCUCCCGGCUUAACCGGGAGGGUGCGGUGAAUACUGAGGGACUAGAGUACGGGAGAGGAAAGUGGAAUUCCUGGUGUAGCGGUGAAAUGCGUAGAUAUCUCUAAGAACACCAGUUGCGAAGGCGGCUGGCUGGGUCCACAUUGACGCUGAGGCUCGAAAGCGUGGGGGAGCAAACAGG